rnacentral:lncRNA from 1 species
CGCGAAGGGCAAAACGGUAAUUUGAGAAAAAGUCAGAUUUUUAUCUCUUCUCUCUCUCCUCCCCCGUCAGUUUUCUCUCUCCUCUCCUCUCUCUCCUCCCGCGCGAUUCUCCCCCGACCUCCGCAUCUUCUCAUCGACACCCCGGCCACCACAGGCCGGCUUGAUCUCCGCCGUGGGUACCGUCGGGACCGUGACAUCCUCACCGUUCUUCACCGACCCGCCGCCGACCUGGGGACGCCCGGAACUGGCCGGAAUCUGCCAUUUUUGCCAAUUUUCCAGUUCGAACUUUGAGCUCCUCGUUCUCCCUCAAUUCUCCACCAAAUCGAUCGAGUAAGGCACCAGAGAACCAACGGAACCACAUGAGGGACCUUUAAGAGGUUCAGCUAGCUCGGACCAGCAGUGAGUGGACUUUCUUUCAUGAAUGAUUUUAUACAAAUGAGUUAUAUAAAUGAUUUAUAUACAUGAGUUUACAUAAAUGAUUUUAUAUUAAUUUUAUAUAAAGAAGCUUUUAUAAAUAAGUUUAUCUGAAUAAGUUUUAUGAACUGUUUCUUUCGAGCAUGUUUUGUACUGUUAAAUACUUUGAUUUACGUGAGGCUUAGUUACUGAAGCUCCAGUAAUAUAAAAGGUUGAGUUUGAGGUUCGAAUCAGAUGAGAUAGCAGCAGAAUUGAGAUUGCAGUUAUUAAUCAGAUUUUUCUAAAAUUAUUUAUUUUUGGAAAACCACCAUGUACCCGCUCUUUAUUUGGUGAUUACCCUCAGACGGACCGAUGUCUACGGACAUCCAGUCUGUUUACAGUUCUGUCAGUGCACUUGACAUUGCCUCACGAGUUUCGGGGACGCUCGGACCGUGAGUGCCAGAAUUUGCGGCUCGGCAGACUUGGUGUCCCGAGACCUGCCAGAAUUUGCGGCUCGGCUGACUCUGUGUCCCCGAGACCUGCCAGGAUUGCGGAUCAGGCUGACUACGAUCCCCUGUAUCUUGUCAGAGCGGCUCGAGUUAACUUGGUGUCAUCGAGACCUGCCGGCGGAUCAGGCUGACCAUAGUCCCCUGAUUUCGCCAGUUUGCAGCUCGGUUAGACUUUGUGUCGCCCGAGACCUGCCAGGGGAUUUGACGGAUUUUACAGGGGUACAAUUAGGUGGUAGUUUCAAAGGUUUUUGAGCUCUUUUAUGCAGUUAUUGUUUUCACUCAUUAUAUAUCAUCUUCUUCGAUAUUCACGCAUGUGUUAUAUCCAUAUAUCCUUGUUCAGUUAUACGAGUAUCUAUACAAAUAUAUUUAUCUAUGUUUAUUGGAAUAUCUCGAGUUGAAUUAUAAUCAUGCGUUAGAUUUUCUAUCCCUAUGUAUUUCAAAACGGGGGUUAUUAUGUUCUAAAUUGCUUUCAAGAACCUUAUUUUUGUCCACUCACAACUUUAAACUUGUUUUUCGCCCCCAGGCCGUAGAAGUGCGCAGGAUCCACCACCGGGCCAUUCCUAGCUUCCGCGCCACCAAGUAAGGUAGAGUUUGUGGAAAAGUCCUUGAAACCCUGUAAACUUUAGAAAAUGCUCUGAUAUCUAGUUUAGUGGAAAACUGGAGCUGGUGAAUACUUGGUUAUUCUAUUCUGGCAGUUGGUGUGGAUUUAUUUAAUUGUUUAACAUGUGAAAGAUUUUGGGUUUAGUCAAAAUACAGGGGAGACUCUGCCGAAAUUUCGGCAGAAGUCCAGGGAAAGUUUUCAUAGUAACUGUAGCAGGAAGGGUAAAAUGGUCAUUUGCGCCCGUCAGUUGCCAGAUGUCGGACACGCACAGGGCUUGGUUCGAAUUCCAAAGUGGAAUUGGGAUCGAGUCCUGUCAAGUCUGGGCAAGCCUGAAGGCAAGAAUAGCCUGAGUUUGCCAACCUUUGCCUUGCCCUUGCCCUUUGCCAUGACAAAUGGGUGGAAGUGCUCUUAGUUUUUUAUAAAUGAAAACUGAAAAUGGAUAACUAAGGGCCCGUUUGAUAACCAUUUCAGUUUUAGUUUUAGUUUUAGUUUUUAUUUUUCAUUAUUUUUUUUUUUUU